rnacentral:lncRNA from 1 species
GAGGAUUAUGUCCAUUAGUUUACAAGCUUUCGAUAAAAAAAAAGUUGUCAUGAUCAUGAAUGAAGUAUUCAAAUAGAUCCUGUGCAUAUUAUAUUUCCUUCCUUUUACAAAUAUAUCUCUACACAAAAUACAUACAAAAAUAGAAAAUAAUCCAUCAGUAUAAUUGUGACACUGGAAUUGGAACAUAUGAAUUUAUACAUAUUAUCUAAUAAAUCUCUCUCUCUCUCUAGCUCUACUAGACAGACUAUGCACACAUCAUUUCUAAGGGUUAAAAGAAACCAACUAAAGUCUUACUGAAGUAUUGAUUGAUUUAUUUUCUCAUCAAGGGUUAAAACAUUCAACGAGCAUGGAAAUUGAAGCCUCCGAAAAGAGAAACCUAGGCUUGUUAAAUUGCAUGAGUUUGGCAACAAUCACAGCGAACCCAGAUGAGGUCUUGUCCAUUUCCUGAUGUUGAGUGGCAGCAGAGUUAAGGGAUUGCUCCUUUUCCCUGAGCUUGGUCAGUUCCCUUGACCAUAUAUUCACCACUGCAGACAUUACUUGAAAAUAAGCAGCAAACACUAAAGAGCUACCAAGAGAAAUAUAUGUCUAGUUUGAAUGUGAUGCUUUGCCUGUUGUGAGAAUUGAACAAAAACCGAUGGAGCGAGGCAUAUUUAUUUAUAAGGAGACCAAGGUCAUUCGGUUAAGUAAGAAUAAUACUAAAGAAAAAGAAAGGC